rnacentral:rRNA from 1 species
AUUGAACGCUGGCGGCAUGCCUUACACAUGCAAGUCGAACGGCAGCACGGGAGCAAUCCUGGUGGCGAGUGGCGAACGGGUGAGUAAAGUAUCGGAACGUGCCCAGUCGUGGGGGAUAACGUAGCGAAAGUUACGCUAAUACCGCAUACGAUCUAUGGAUGAAAGCGGGGGAUCGCAAGACCGUGCGCGCUUGGAGCGGCCGAUACCAGAUUAGGUAGUUGGUGGGGUAAAGGCUCACCAAGCCGACGAUCUGUAGCUGGUCUGAGAGGACGACCAGCCACACUGGGACUGAGACACGGCCCAGACUCCUACGGGAGGCAGCAGUGGGGAAUUUUGGACAAUGGGCGCAAGCCUGAUCCAGCCAUGCCGCGUGCAGGAUGAAGGCCUUCGGGUUGUAAACUGCUUUUGUACGGAACGAAAAGGUUUGACUUAAUACGUUGGACUCAUGACGGUACCGUAAGAAUAAGCACCGGCUAACUACGUGCCAGCAGCCGCCGUAA